UUCACACUUAUAGAUGCAGAGUGUCAAUUGUUAUGAAUAGAAGGUUUGCUUUUAAUUAAAAGACGAGAAACUUGUGAUAAUUUAAAUAAAUUAAAAUUUAUAAUUGUUAUUAGUUGAGUUUGUGUAUAUAUUAAAUAAAUGAAUUGUGAAUAAAUUUGUAAUGAAAAUGAAGUUGUAACUGUGGGUAUUUAAUUGUCAGCUAUUAUUUGCUGUGAAAAUACUCAUUGAAUGUCGGACUCUUUUGCGGGCUUGAUAAUUUGUUGCAGCUCAUGAAAAUAGUGUGAAACAGAAGAGAGAGCGAGUCCAUUUCGGAUCUGAUGAGAGUCAACAAGCGCAAACUCCCGGUAAU